rnacentral:lncRNA from 1 species
UGAAUCCUUUUAUCUGGAUAGGUUUGGUGGCUAUUCUAUUAGGUAUUGGCUAUUCCACUCAAUGAAAUUUUUGUGUGCUAAAUUUACAAAACUCUCUCAUGUCCUAUUUGGAUGUUGUCAAAGUGGUUAUUCAUUGGUAUGGUUCCAUGAAACUCAAGCCUAUAAAUUACUAGUUAAUGGUUAUUCUUGCGACUUGAGGGUUGAGGUGUAACAUGUGGAUUGAAGGUGAAGAGAUGGAGAUUGAUGGAGUGUAUUGUGUUGUGCUUGAGGGCAACCACUAAGUGUGAGGGAGUUUGAUAG